CAAACAUGAUUGCAGUCACAUUGAGGACGUUGGUAACAUCUGUAACACCCCUUAGAACGACCUAUUCCUAUCUGUUGGUUUCCUGUAUGACAUGUUUUUGUAACUUUGCUGAGAGAAACAAAAGGAGUAAAAGAGAUAUUAAUUAAACUAAAAUUAACGUAUUUCAGAUGUAUAAAGACCCUUUAUUUACCUACAAAAAUGUAUAAAUGGAACAGGUAUUUUCAUAGCAAAUAAAUCUGUGAGUUUUCUUUAAAACAUAUUUAAGACUUCAGACAAGAGUGCACAUGAGGAUUAAUAUUUUUGCGAUAUAUUAUUAUCUUGAUAUAUUGAUUUCUACGUUUUGUGACUAAUGCUGUUUGUCUGUACAGGAUAAUACGGUCACAGGAGGUUAUACAGGAUAAUACGGUCACAGGAGGUUACAUAAAAAGGAAGAAAAUAAGAUACUAUGAAGCAAGUUUCUGGUUUGAUAUGCUUAUUUCACAUGUUUAUGUCCUGAGAGCCUAUUAAUUAAUCAACAGGAAGAUAUAAGAGCCGUGUGACAAGAGAAACACAUUCAGGGAGGAAACAGUCGGCAGGAGUGCGUCUGGAAGAAAUACCAGCUGGAGGUGUGAUGAACGUGUAUCAUGAAGAGAAAACUGACCAUCGUGGAAAGAAGACCCGAAAUGAAGACAAAGUUGAUUCUUACCCAAUCUAUGUCAACACUACCGAGCUUGCCGAAGAAAAAGAACACAUCUACAGCAAUGUUUGAAGUGUCUGCAAGUGGAAAGGCAAAGGAGUAAAUAACACCAGAACUGAUUUGAAAAU